GACGAACGCUGGCGGCGUGCUUAACACAUGCAAGUCGAACGGAAAGGCCCUGCUUUUGUGGGGUGCUCGAGUGGCGAACGGGUGAGUAACACGUGAGUAACCUGCCCUUGACUUUGGGAUAACUUCAGGAAACUGGGACUAAUACCGGAUAGGAGCUCCUGCUGCAUGGUGGGGGUUGGAAAGUUUCGGCGGUUGGGGAUGGACUCGCGGCUUAUCAGCUUGUUGGUGGGGUAGUGGCUUACCAAGGCUUUGACGGGUAGCCGGCCUGAGAGGGUGACCGGCCACAUUGGGACUGAGAUACGGCCCAGACUCCUACGGGAGGCAGCAGUGGGGAAUAUUGCACAAUGGGCGGAAGCCUGAUGCAGCAACGCCGCGUGCGGGAUGACGGCCUUCGGAUUGUAAACCGCUUUCGCCUGUGACGAAGCGUGAGUGACGGUAAUGGGUAAAGAAGCACCGGCUAACUACGUG
rnacentral:rRNA from 1 species